UACGUAGGCAGCAAGCGUUGUUCGGAGUUACUGGGCGUAAAGAGUGCGUAGGUGGUGCCCUAAGUCUGUUGUGAAAUCUCCCGGCUUAACUGGGAGGGUGCGGUGGAAACUGGGGUGCUUGAGGGUGGGAGAGGUAAGCGGAAUUCCUGGUGUAGCGGUGAAAUGCGUAGAUAUCAGGAGGAACACCUGUGGUGUAGACAGCUUACUGGACCACUUCUGACGCUGAGACACGAAAGCGUGGGUAGCAAACAGG
rnacentral:rRNA from 1 species